rnacentral:rRNA from 1 species
GAUGAACGCUGGCGGCGUGCUUAACACAUGCAAGUCGAGCGAAAAGACGAGGAGUUUGCUCCACUGACGUUAGAGGCGGGAGGGUGAGUAACACGUGGAUAACCUAACUAUAUGACUGGGAUAACUUAGGGAAACUGGAGCUAAUAACGGAUAAUAUAUUGAACCGCAUGGUUCAAUAGUGAAAGACGGUUUUGCUGUCACUUAUAGAUGGUUCUGGGCUGGAUUAGCUAGUUGGUAAGGAAACGGCUUACGAAGGCAGCGAUGCGUAGGCGACCUGGGGGAGGGUUGUACCACACCGGAGGUGGAACACGGUCCUGGGGCCUACGAGAGGCAGCAGUAGGUAAUGUGCCGCGAAGGGGGAGAGCUUGACGGAGCAGCGCCGCGUGAGUGAUGAAGAUCUUCGGUGCGUAAGACGCUGUUUUUGGGGUAGAACAAUUUUGUAAGUAACUAAGCACUUCGUGACGGUACCUGAUCAAGAAGCCACGGCUAACUACGUG